GUCUCUAAGCAAUGGAUGUCUUGGCUCCUCACACGAUGAAGAACGUGGCAUAAUGUGUUAAGUAACCGGAGUUGCAAACAUCAUGACAAGUUAAUCUUUGAAUGCAAAUUGCGCUAAACUCGAUCUCAGUCGAGAAGCAUGAGUGUGACAGUACUA
rnacentral:rRNA from 1 species